CGCGAAUGGCUCAUUACAACAGUUAUAGUUUAUUUGAUGAUCUUUACUACAUGGAUAACUGUGGUAAUUCUAGAGCUAAUACAUGCUGUACGGCCCGACCUUAUAGAAGGGUUGCAUUUAUUAGAUUUAAACCAAAGCCUUCGGGUUUUUGAUGAAUCAUAAUAACUAAGCGGACCUAGGCCAUGCCUAGGCAGAUCAUUCAAGUUUCUGCCCUAUCAGCUUGAUGGUAGUGUAUUGGACUACCAUGGCAGUUACGGGUAACGGGGAAUAAGGGUUCGAUUCCGGAGAGGGAGCCUGAGAAACGGCUACCACUUCCAAGGAAGGCAGCAGGC
rnacentral:rRNA from 1 species